ACAAGGGAAAAAGUGAAGCUGCCAGCAUGAUCUAGCUUUGGUUAAAGAAACUGAUUAUGAAUGAAUAAAUUAAUUAAGAGACUUAACCAUAUCUAGGUCAUGCUCUGACAGCCUCACUCCUUCCUAGU
rnacentral:pre_miRNA from 1 species